UUAGAAUCAAUGUGUCAAUUUCUACAAAAGCCUGCUGGGAUUUAGGUUGAGAUUAUUUUAUAUCUGUAGCUAUUUAGGGAGAAUUGACAUUUCAAAAAUAUGAAAUCUUUCAAUCCAUGAAUAAAAAACUUUUUACAUUUUUUUUUUAGGUUUUAAAUUUCUACCACAAAUGUUUUGUAGUUUUUGGUGCACAGAUCUUGCACAACCAUAGUACAAGCCCAAUAGGCCACAGUGUCUGACCCUGAGACAGAUUACUGCGGAAUCAGAGACGUAGACAGGGAGAGCAUUAUCGUCCUCAUUUUGCUCAUCUCUUUCUUCAUCUCAGAAAUGAAUAUAAUAGUCCCCGCCUCCCAAAGUUGUGAGAGUUGAAUGCUUUAGUCCCCUAAAGCUUACAGGACUAAAACAAGCUUACAAGAUUGUUUGCACACACCGGUUGAGUGUUCUUUAUUGGAAAUAUUUGUAACCAGAAGAGUUUCAUAUUAAAC
rnacentral:lncRNA from 1 species